rnacentral:tRNA from 1 species
UGGGCUGUAGCUCAGUGGUAGAGUGUUUGCCUUGUAUACACAGGGCCCAGGGUUCAAUCCCCAGCACCAA